GUGUCUGUGCGUGUGUGUGCGUGCGUGUGGGUGCGUGCGUGUGUGUGUGUGCGCUGGUACACGUUACUUAAAGCCUAUGGUGCAGGUUAACCGGAAGUUUCGAUUAAUGGGUACAUAAAGCACUCAAAAUAUGUACCGCAUUCAUGAAAUGUCUCCAAAAUUGCGUUAAAGUCCAGUUUUUGUCGUUUUUUGUGGUAACGGGUGUUUUCUAACGUCGUUCGGUGGUGACGUCACGGUAGGGAGUCGUGGUGGAAGGUAGCCUCAGCCUAGUACUAGAACUAUGGCGUCUAACUGGGAUGAGGAAGAGGUGGCAAGAACCACAAAUUACAUUUAUGAUGGCCCACAGCCGUAUAAUUUCGAGCCUGUUAGACGUGAGGGGGCGAAUGAGGAAUUGCCGAGGAUUGAUGGCCGUCAAAGCCAAUUAAAUUCAUGGUCAGAGGAGAAUGGGUGGAGAGUUGGUGAGGUGUCCUGGUGUUUGUGUGGGCGGUGCCGUCCUAUGGAAUCUGUGGUGGAGAGCUUGUGCUGUAGGGAAGUGAGUGCGUUUUGGUCGCUGGUCGAGAAGCUCAGCCCAAGACCAGCAGAUGUGACAUGCCUCACUCAGCAUCCAGGAUUUGAUGCAUGCUGCCUGAAUCCGUUUGUGCUUAAGAUAGCGUACACACAUUUCAAGCAGGAUCAUGGUCCCCUUCAAGCCAGCACGCACGAGCAAUACCAGUACACUGCAUACAGGCAGGCUAUACGAUGGGCUUAUGGAGUUCUUGGCCUGCAUAUAAGGAAGCCUCUACCCUCCUGUCUGGUUUCAGCCAUCAGGCAACAAUUUCAGAGUGGUGACCAGACCUAUCAUGGCUUUCAAUGGCCUCGUUUGGAUGAAGAAUAAAAACCAUAUUGGCACGUA